rnacentral:rRNA from 1 species
GACGAACGCUGGCGGCGUGCCUAAUACAUGCAAGUAGAACGCUGAAGAGAGGAGCUUACUCUUCUUGGAUGAGUUGCGAACGGGUGAGUAACGCGUAGGUAACCUGCCUUGUAGCGGGGGAUAACUAUUGGAAACGAUAGCUAAUACCGCAUAACAAUGGAUGACACAUGUCAUUUAUUUGAAAGGGGCAAUUGCUCCACUACAAGAUGGACCUGCGUUGUAUUAGCUAGUAGGUGAGGUAAUGGCUCACCUAGGCGACGAUACAUAGCCGACCUGAGAGGGUGAUGGGCCACCCUGGGACUGAGACACGGCCCAGACUCCUCCGGGGGGCAGCGGUAGGGAAUUUUCGGCAAUGGGGGCAACCCUGACCGGCCAACGCCGGGGGAGGGAAAAAGGUUUUCGGAUCGUAAAGCUUUGUUGUAAGUCAAGAACGGGUGUGGGGGGGGAAAGUUCCCACUGUGCCGGUAGUUUACCAGAAAGGGGCGGCUAACUACGU